rnacentral:tmRNA from 1 species
GGGGGCGAACCGGUUUCGACGAGGGCAACGAGCCUUUCGGCGCAUGCAGGGGACGCACGCUCCUCUUUAAAAAGCGGGCAACGUAACAAACGCCAACGACAACGUUGAGCUCGCGCUCGCCGCCUAAAGCGGCUUAAGCGCGCGGGACCUCCGGAGCCCAGCCCAUGGCGCCGGAUAGUCCCGCCAAAAAAGUGGGCUGGCCAGGGACUCGGCCCCGAGAGCCCCCGGCGAGAUCUUUCGGGGAUGGUCCGGCGGGAAGAGUGCCCGUGUUCGUCCCGCCGGAUGACGACAAAUCACGGGACAAGCAUGUAGGGCCAGAAAGGGGAGUGCUUUCGGACGCGGGUUCGAUUCCCGCCGCCUCCACUU